UACGGGGGGGGCAAGCGUUGUUCGGAAUUACUGGGCGUAAAGGGCGCGUAGGCGGUCCGCUAAGUUGGAUGUGAAAACUCUGGGCUUAACCCAGAGCCUGCAUUCAAAACUGACGGGCUAGAGUUCUGGAGGGGGUAGCGGAAUUCCUGGUGUAGCGGUGAAAUGCGUAGAUAUCAGGAGGAACACCGGUGGCGAAGGCGGCUACCUGGACAGAAACUGACGCUGAGCCGCGAAAGCUAGGGGAGCGAACAGG
rnacentral:rRNA from 1 species